GUAUAAGUUUAUUGGCUUGAAAAGCCAUACUACAAUCCAUAAUAAAUCAUGUGUAUUAAAAACAUAGACAGGGACGUGAAUCCCUAUUGUCUACGAAAGGUGCACAGGUGGAUGUAAAGGUUGAAAGUGCACAUUACCCUUUGAAGGGGCCAGCACAUUUCAUUUAAAAUCAAUAAUGAUCCUUCCGCAGGUUCACCUACGGAAA
rnacentral:misc_RNA from 1 species